rnacentral:rRNA from 1 species
GUGCCUCCCUCGCGAGCACCCUUGGUUUCCCGACAACGUCGGGGCGGCUUGGCGUUCUUUUAUCCCGGCGACUUGAAACUCGCCCGGGCUAACAGACGCAUGGCUUAACCAACGGAACAAAAAACCGGCGUGAAAACGCCAAGGAACAUGAAAGAGAGUGCGCUCUUUUGGUGUCAGCACUGCUGCGCCAGGACGGGCGUUGUCUUCUUGAUGAGUUUAUAAUGACUCUCGGCAACGGAUAUCUCGGCUCUUACAUCGAUGAAGAACGUAGCAAAAUGCGAUACUUGGUGUGAAUUGCAGAAUCCCGUGAACCAUCGAGUCUUUGAACGCAAGUUGCGCCCGAAUCCUUUUGGUCGAGGGCACGUCUGCCUGGGUGUCACGU